GUCUAGUUUCACCAGCACAUAUACUAAAAUUGGAACAGUACAGAGAAGAUUAACAUGGCCCCUGUGCAAGGAUGACAUGCAAAUCGUGAAGUGUUCCAUUUAUAA
ensembl:snRNA LOC120099404 U6 spliceosomal RNA